rnacentral:rRNA from 1 species
GACAGAGGUGCCGAGCGUUAGGCGGAAUCACUGGGCCUAAAGCGUGUGUAGGCGGGCGGGCAAGUACCUUGUGAAAUCCCACGGCUCAACCGUGGAACGGCUGGGUAUACUGCCUGUCUUGAGCCAACUAGGGGCGAGCGGAACAGACGGUGGAGCGGUGAAAUGCGUAGAUAUCGUCUGGAACGCCGAAGGUGAAAACAGCUCGCUGGGGUUGUGCUGACGCUGAGACACGAAAGCCAGGGAGCGAACGGG